AUUUCCUUUCAGCUAAUAAGUGUUUGUCAUUUCCUUUCAGCUGAUAGGAGCUUCUGAUGGAACCAGCCCCAAAUUCUUUCCCCUGGCAAUCCCCAUUCUCCACCCCUGAAACAAAACUGCUGAGACCAUUAUGGAUAGAACCCUGGUGCUUCUGGUGACUUUAUGGACAGCAACUGGGUUACUACAAACCAACAUCUUCUCUAAGCUAAGCUGCCAGCUUGUCAAUGAAAUAUACAGAGAGCUGAGUGGAUAGUCACAGAAGGAAAUGGAGGCCCGGCCUCAACCUACAAAAUAACCCACUCUCCACUCCACUAUAGAGCUUUGGGAAUCUGGUGACAAACUUCAAUAGCACAACUGUCUUUCUGAGUGAGCACAGGACCCAUCUAAGAGAAUCAUCAGGACCUUAGGAGCCAGCCUCUCCAAAAAAUUCUCUCUUCCUUCAUCUUCCUGACUGGGGUCUGUGCUAUUUGUGCAGGCAAAAAAUAUCAGGGAAUUGGGACUCAAAGAGUUUGAAAAGUAAAAUUCUUAAGCUGUUAAAAAUACAAUUCUCAUACAAAAGAUAGUGAGCAUGAGUUAAAACUUUAACUCAUUAGUGAAGAAGAUAGAAGAAUGACAAAACUGGAUAGAAAAGAAUUGGAAGAACUAGGUUGCAUAGUGGGGAAAGGAAUCCUGAAAUAAGAUUUCUAACUUAGAUAUAAAAACAGUUAAUCUGCAGGUAAUUAAACCAUAACAUUUGGGAUUCUCUACUGGACAUUUUAAAAAAUCACACCCUUAACAGUUGUCUACGAGCUAUUCUCUCACAUUAGAGCAUCUUAAGUCACACAAUCAUUUUGUAUUAUUUCAGUUUUAUAUACUUUUCCUGCAUAAAUAAAAUUACCACUUAGAAUUUAAAA